UUGAUGGUUGGACAGGUGGGAGCUCCGGUUUGACGAGCUGCUGCUGUUCACAAUACAAAGAAAGCGGAGCCGGAGAAACACUUUAAUUCAACAGUGAAAUAAAACUAACGCAUUGCGGUUAUUUUAAAACAUUAUCCGCUAAAUUGAAGUCUUAUUUAUGACGUGUUUUAAGUGAAACAUGUCUGACAAAGAAGAGGGAUAUUCAACAGAAACUGCGCAGUGACCUGAGCAGGUGAGGAUCAUUUUGGAUCAUUUGCGUCACUUUCUCAAUUCAAAUGUGGUGAAUUUUGUUUUAUUUUUCGGCUUAAAUGAGCCGGCUUUGUUUGAGAUAACAGUCACUUCCGUAUAGGAUCCUCAGUGACAGGCGGUGACGGGCAGACGGUGUUCAAACGGUGGUCCGGGGACCAGCAGCGGUCGUUAAAGGUCCACCAAACCUGACGUCGCUGAUGUUUACUUUAGAGGAGUAUUCUGACUCCAGAGCUGUGUAGUUGUAUUUAAGAAGGUACAAAUAACUCUUCUAGUAGUGAAAUGUCCCCUUUUAUGUUGUUUUCACUAAUUAAAUAAAGGUUUCACGGAUCUAAACGUAGGGUUCAACCAGUGUCAGGCUUUAACAAUGAUAUGUAAUAUGUUAUAAUAAGAUGACCUGAUGUAACUCCUGUGUGUCCCUUAAUCACAACCAGAAUGAUCAUUCAUCAUUUGUGUUACUACCCAAAACAAUCUAUUUAAUGACUGUGUCAGCAGUAUUUAGAGCUAUUGGCUGUUUGAUGAAUGCCACAGGACCCCCUUAUCGUGCAUCAUUUUGGUCUCACACAGCAGACACAAUAGAUUCAGCAUCAUUUGGUUACGUUGGUGCCGCUCUCGCGCUCAUUUCCUUAUCUUCCAGAUAUGGCAGACGACAAGGUUGCCAUCCUGUCGGACGACGAGGAGGAGGAGAAGAUGAAGUACGUGUUGCCCGAGCCGUUCGACGCGCAGUCGAAGGGUUCUGCGACGCCGCCGCCGCCGCCGCCUGCCUCGGACACGCCGCCCGAGCAGCUGACGGCCCUGCAGGCCGACUCGAUAGACUUCUGCGAGAGGAUGUGCCUCCGCAUCAACACCCGCCUCCUCAUCUCCAAAGUCUUCUACUUCUUCUUCUACGCCGCCUACGGCUCGCUGCACCCUCUGCUGGCCGUGUACUACAAGCAGCUCGGCAUGUCGGCCAGCCGCAGCGGGCUGCUCGUCGGCAUCCGCUACUUCAUCGAGUUCUGCAGCGCCCCCUUCUGGGGGGUGGUGGCCGACCGCUACAGGAAGGGGAAGGUCGUGCUGCUGUUUUCCGUUCUGUGCUGGUUGGUCUUCAACUGCGGCAUCGGCUUUGUGAAGCCGGCUGAGACGAUAUGUGUGCAGAAAGAUGCUGAUGCGACGACGGCGGUGGCGCCCGUGAUGACGACGACUCUGCUGAACGAUAACUUCACGCAGCUGAGCAACUCCACCAACCACACCAGGAGACGCCGGAGCCUUCUAGACCUGGACUGGAUUCCUAAGAUCCUGGACUCCUAUUUAAGCGUGCACCAUAGGCACGAGCGAAGCACAGACACCAACGCCACCUCACCACUGGGUAACACCACCCAGCCUAUACUGAACACCACCCUCCCCCCUCCGAACACCACCCAGCCUACGCUGAACACCACCCUCCCCCUGCCGAACACCACCCUCUCAGCACCAAACACCACCCUCAUCACCAUCACAACCCCCCCAGCUCCAACCGAAGCCAAUGAGUACCAGACGAUCUACAACAAGGACCAGGUGGAGAGCAUCUUCCUUCUCAUCCUGCUCGUCGUUAUCGUGGGCGAGUUCUUCACCGCCCCCACCCUCACCAUCGUGGACACCGUCACCCUGCAGAACCUCGGGAAGGCCCGCGACCGCUACGGCCUGCAGAGGAUGUGGGGCUCUCUGGGCUGGGGUAUAGCCAUGCUGCUGGUGGGCAUCUGGAGCGACCACACGUACACCAAGGUGGUGAUCAGCGGCAUCGGCUGCGAGGACCUCAAUCUCCCCAACUACCAGAUUGCCUUCAUUGCCUUCGGCGUGCUGAUGAGCGUGGCGUUCAUCGUCGCCACUCAGUUUCACUUUGAUAAAGGUGGCGACUACCACCAGGAGCUUUCAGGUGAAGCUGGAGCCCGGAGAGCACUACCCGAGUCCACCUCGUCGGACCAGAGUCCCACCGGCCCUGAAGCGGAGUUCGACUACAGCGACCUGCUGAAGCUCCUGUGCAGCGUGCGCUACAGCUCCGUGCUCUUCGUCGCCUGGUUCAUGGGCUUCGGCUACGGCUUCGUCUUCACCUUCCUGUACUGGCACCUGGAGGACCUGAAGGGGACCACCACGCUGUUCGGGGUCUGCUCCGUCCUGAGCCACGUCUCCGAGCUCGCCGCCUACUUCACCAGCCACAAGUUCAUCGAGCUGGUCGGACACAUCCGGGUUCUGUACAUCGGCCUGGCCUGCAACACGGCUCGCUACCUCUACAUCUCGUACCUGCAGAACGCCUGGAGCGUGCUGCCCGUGGAGAUCCUUCAAGGUGUGACGCACGCCUCGGUUUGGGCAGCCUGCAUCUCCUUCCUGAGUGCGGCGGUCCCGCCGGCCCUGAGGACGUCGGCGCAGGGCAUCCUGCAGGGCCUCCACCUGGGCCUGGGCCGCGGCUGUGGAGCCAUAGUGGGAGGAGUGUUCGUCAACUACUUCGGUGCUGCAGAGGCCUUCAGAGGAAUCGGCAUGGCCUCCCUCGUCAUCCUCCUCAUCUUCGCCCUGAUCCAGUAUCUGACCGGAGAGGCUGAGGGGAAAGAGGACAAAAUGCUGGCGGAGAACAUCCCGGUUCCCUCCAGCCUGGUUCCCAUCGCCACCAUCGACCUGGUGCAGAACCGGUUCGCCGCCGGGAGCUCCGGCCCGGCUCGCAAGGCCUCCUCGUUGCCCGUCAAGAAGUCGAAACACCAGGAGGAACAGGAGGACGCCAACCGGCCGGCCUGGGUGCUCUCCGGAGCCCCCUGGGUCACCAUCGCCUUCGCCAUCGUCCAGCUCAUAGAGAUGAUGAACAUGAAGCAGAAAGGAGCUCCGCAGUCUGAGACUCACUCGCUGCAGAGGCGAGCCAGAUGCCCCGAGGAGGCCGGAUCUGUGGAAUGGAGGUGAUGACGGCUCCUCCCCGGAGAGGUCAGAGGACACUUUGUGGCCAAAACAAGACGUUGAAAUCACACAGACGCACCUCGACGAGCGCUGAGUGGCGACGUGGAGAAACCAAAGGGUUGUAAUCUCCUCGUAAGCUUCUUUUACAUCAUUCUAUUAAUAAAAGUCAUGCACAACUCAAUAUAUGUAGCUUGUAACCUUUAUAAUUCCUAAACGUUAGACCUCUUAAACACCCUUAAGAAUUUAGUUUUGUUUUCUUGGUUGUGCAGCUUAAAUAGUGUUCAUAGUUUCAGAGCCUUUCUUAAUAUUUCCCAAACUUCUUAGAUACUUCAUCAAAUGUUUACUUUGAUUUGAAGAGUUUUCAGUAUUUCAUGAGAAGAAAAUAGAUCAAAGUUCAAGAAAAAUAAUUGAUUUCAUUCUUCAUCCCUUUAGUCAUCUUGUGACCCCUCAGCUUUAUCUCGGGGACCCUUGAAUGGGCCCUGACCCCUAUGUUGGGAACCACAGUCUUCAGCAAUUGUCUCAAUGGAGGUUUCCAAAACUCCCAAAUAGAAUUCUGGCGCAGAAAUCAGUCAUUUGUGUGAAUUUGGAGACAAAUCAAGUCAUUAACACAGUCGCACUUUCUAGAUAUAAAGACUGAAACAUGUUUGAACUUGAUGAGUCACAGCUUGUGUUGUUGUGGCGGUUCCUCUGUGUUUGUAGUGAAACCACUGAAGCAGCUUCAGGCGAGCUGCAGGAGACCAGCGAGCUGGAUGACUGAACUGUGAGGUGUAACUGAGCGGGUCAAAGAUGAGUCCUCCGUAGACGACCCGGGUCAGACCUCCUGCAGCACCGCGAUCAGGACCACCUGAGUCAGGUCUGAGUCAGACUCAGACAGCAGAGAGUCACGUUAUUGGCAGGAUGCUGCAGACUAAACAUCACAUGGCUGCCUGCCUCUUGCUCUCUUUGUUCUGGAUCCAGAGAUUUGUGCCUAUUUUAAAAACACAUAUGCUGAUUUAUAUGAAACACAAGCGCUGCACGUUAGCGACACAUUUUAAAUGUGGUGCUUGUGUUUGUGUACAGUUUGUUCUACAGUAACAUUACAGCACCAACAAAUACUGCUGGUGUUUGUGCUCCACAGACUGUCUUCUAAAUCACUGUCAGGGUCAAUAACCUUCCUUUUACAUGAAUGAUAUUUGUUAAGUAUUCUUUGCCUCGUGGUAAAUAUUCAAACAAUAAAUGAUUAUUUAGCAUAUAGGUGGUCUGCGUUUCUGUGGAGGCAGUCUGCCUCGGCUAGAGAAACAACUCAUGCCUUUGUAGUCAUAUUAUUAUUAGUUAGCGGCUAAUGCUAACUUAUUAUCUAUAGCUGGCUAGUUAACUUGCUAACAGUUUAUUCAUUUCAAUGUUGUUGUAAAAUAUUUUGUUUGGUAAAACAAGCAUUUAAAGACGUCAUUAUGAACAUUUAUUGAUGAAAUAUUGAUUUAAAGACCCGCUAACUUAAAUGAUAAUGAAAAUAUGUAUUUAUCGUUCUGUUUUUUGCUGAUUUUCUGUUUUUACUGAAUGAAAAAGAGUCCGUUUGUUGUAUAUAGACCAUGAUGAACGCACAAAGCCUCUAUUGAUCGCUGCCUUUAGCCCCGUUAGCUGUUUGGUUUCACAGCAGCGCUGCAGUGUGAACCGUGUGCAGCAGACUAAGACUUAUAGGAGCAGACAGCUGUCAUGGUCGCUCUAACAUCAGCCCACCGGCUGUGUUCAUGCAGCCUCGCUGCCGCUUACACAGCAGAGUGACAAUGCUGCCAUGUCACCUGUCCACGUACGGCACACAUUUAAAUCCUUAUUUGAUUAACUGAUGUUUGUUUCAAUGCAGGAGGCGGGUUGGGAUGACGGAUGUUUCUCUGGACCAAACGGAUGAUCCACUUUGAGAUGCAUCAACAUCUGCGGACUCCAACAGAUGCUGCUGUCAGACUGCAUCUGUGAAAAAAUGUUUGAUUUGAUCCCCGUCUGCUCGGAGGCUGAUCCAUGGGAACGCCGUCAGAAGGUCAUAUCUGCAUCACACACACACACGCACACACACACACACACCCACACACACACACACACACACACACAGAGAGCAGCCAGACGUGGAUUUAGAGGCUGAAGGUGGGCGGUCAGGAAUCCUACCUGCCGACCUCAGUUUGGUAAACUUAUCAGAAGCAUUUGCAUAAGCCUUCUUUCUUGACUCACGAGCCGUGACAAAAUAAUAUGUUUGACCUUUUCCUGAGCUUUCAACCGUCUGACUGUUCUGUAGAAACUGGUUUUCUAUUCAAACAUAUGUACACUACAGUGAUAUCCUCUUUUCUUUGAAUUUGUGAUUAUCGUUUGAAUACAAUAAUUUGUUAGUUUAUCAAAAUGUAAAUUCAGUAAGAAAUUCAACGAUCAAGUUGCUCUUCACGCAUUAAAGUUAUUUUAUGUACGUAAAUAUAAAGCUAACACCAACACUAGCUUAGCUUAGCACAAAGACUGGAAACAGAGGAAAACAGCUAGCCUGUCCAGCUGUUACAAAAUCCAACCGGCCUCUCUUCAUCGCUCUAAUUAUUAUGUUUAUUUAUUGUUUGUUUCAUAAAAACUAAAGUGUAAGAACAAGAAGUUGUGGUUUUAGGGCCACGCUAGCUGCUUCCCCCUGUUUCCAGUCUUUGUGCUAAGCUAAGCUAACCUGCUGCUGGCGGUAUCGAGUGUUAUCGAUCUUCCCGUGUAAUCCUCAGUAUUUAAGCGUAUUUCCCAACAUUUUGAACUAUUCCUUUAAAGUGUUUAACAUCAUAUUUAUAUCGUUACAGUCCUAUGAACGCUGUAAUAUUCCUACACUUUAUUAGUUUAUGUACAAAAACAACAUUCAGCUCAGGUUUUGUGGUUAUUAAACAUUUUGGAAUCAGCUUAAUAUUCCUGUCGGAUGUUUUCAGCCUAAUCUGCAGUUUUGCUUUGAUAUUUGUUUUAGUUUCCUUCUGAAUUUAAUUAGAGGAUCUGAAAAGCAAGCAGUCCCACUUGUCCCCCCCCCCCCCCCCCCCCACACACACACACACACACACAGAGUACAAAUACUAGUUUUCUCAUCAUUUGGACUUUUGAAGACAUAAAGGAGGAGCUGCAGCGUUGCGUGUAAAUUGUUUUAUUUUACUUUUUUGGCUGCUGUGUGCAGGGUGGUGGAGGUGGGGGGGUGAUGGGGGGGUGUUUGACAGAAAGCCGUUCUGGUGUCGUCCCCAGGGUGUUACACUGGUGGCCUAAUUCCCCAAAAUAGCUCAUUGAUGGGGAAUCAGGCGGAGUCAAAGUGAUCUGGUGGAGAUUCGAGCGCCGAGCGCUUCUCUGGGCUUCGUCUUGCAGGCAAAUAUUAAAGUUUCACAAAGUACUACACGCAGUAUUUGUUUCUCCAGUUAUGUUUUACGUCUCUGCGUCAUGCACGCCGUCACCUCUGACCUUUCACUGGUGGUUACUUAUGAAGCUGAUGAUUCACGAAGAGAAGCUUUCUCUGCUGUUUACGUGUGAAAUCUACUUCAUAGUACAGUGGUAUACGUUGUAGUAAUUAAAGAGGUAUACUAGUAUUAGUACUAGUGAUUUCACUACUAUUUGUAUCAGUAGUUGAGGAGGUAGUAGCAGUAAUAUAUAUGUACAGUAUUUAUGUAUUUUACUUGUCUUAGACUGAGCUGUACUGGGGCUACUAGCAGUAGAAGAAGAAGAAGAAGAAGAAGUAGUUGUUGUAGAAUGAGUAACAGUAGUAUUUAUAAGUAACAGUAGUAUCAGUAGUAGUUGAAGAAGUAUUAGUAAGUUAAGUACAAGUAAUAGCAGCAGUAAUAUUUUAUAAGUAACAAUAGUAGCAGUAAUAGUAGCAUCAGUAGUAGUUGAAGAAGUAUUAGUAGGGUCUUUACAAGUAAUAGCAGCAGUUUUUGAACAAUACUAGAAGUAUCAAUAGUAGUAUUUAGACAACAGUAGUGGCAGUAAUAGUAGCAUUAGUAGUAGUUGU